UACAGAGGGUGCAAGCGUUAAUCGGAAUUACUGGGCGUAAAGCGCACGUAGGUGGAUAUUUAAGUCUUAUGUGAAAUCCCCGGGCUCAACCUGGGAACUGCAUAAGAUACUGAAUGUCUAGAGUAUGGUAGAGGUAAGUGGAAUUUCCGGAGUAGCGGUGAAAUGCGUAGAUAUCGGAAGGAACACCAGUGGCGAAGGCGACUUUCUGGACCAAUACUGACACUGAGGUGCGAAAGCGUGGGGAGCAAACAGG
rnacentral:rRNA from 1 species